GAAAUAGAGAGUAGAAUGGUGAUUAUUCUGGCCCAGAGGGCUGGUGAGAAAUAAUAAAUUUUUUAAGAACUCAUUCUGUACAAGUGUGCAUCACACAUUGAAAUGUUAAUCAUAGUGAAAUACUAUUCUCUUAUACUGUUAUUUUGAUAUUAAUUUGCUUGUUUGAGUAUUUUAUUUUGCUUAUUAUGGAUUAAAAAGAAAAGUUCAGGUAUUUCAAGAUGAUACGCAAGAUUUAAUGAGAAGGAUGAAGAGAGCCAAUGUGCAUUUGAUGCUAAUUAUUUGCCCCACACAAAACUCAGCUUUUUGAAUAGAAUAUGUACUCAACAGAAUUUAAAAAAUCCUGAUGCUUUUACCAAGAAGUGACCGGCAGUCAGUCCAAAUCUGGUAGCUAGUCCUGUAACUGAGAGAGACAGCAACUUUUAAUUAAAGACUGAGGGGGAAAAAAAUCAAAGUUAAUUCAGUAGAAUAUUUCACAAAUUUAAAUAUUAAAUAUGAAAAUCAAUGUAUUCCAUUUGGUAUGAGAUUUUGAACCAUGUAUUAAAAACACUUUAAAAGAAAUAAAAAAGAUUCAAACCCUUGAAGUCUGUAAUUCUACUUCUGGAAAUAUAUUCUAGGAAUGUAAUCUAAAAUAAAGAAAUGGGCUAGACAGAAAAUAUUCAGUGCAAUACAUGUUUAAUGAAGAAAAUUUGGAAUUAAUCAGAUAGUCAACAAUGGGAGGAAAUGUUUAGUAAAGUUUGAUAUUCGGUGUUCGGUAUUUAAGGUAAAUGUGCAAAAAGGCUAUUUACAAUGAGGAAUACUAGUAUAAAAAUAUGUAAAGAGAAUAAAACAGGAUGAAACAUAGACAGUAUUUUCUCAAAUAACUUAAAUAAAUACUUAUAAAGAUAAUAAAGGCUAAAAGAAAAUAAACAGUCAUGCCAAUAGAGAGUUCUGUGAAUAAGGGCAAAAAUAAUUUUUAAAAGGGCAUACUCUACACAAAGAAAGGCUGACUCCCCCAGAAACAGAAUAUCACCUUACAUCCAAAGUAGCCAUGCAGAUUACAGUGGUGUUUUUACUAGGUUUAUGAAAUAUGAAUGCUGACCUUGUCUCCUUGCCUUGUACUGACAGUGAAUGGUGUUUACUGGAUGCCAAUUACUUUUUCUCUCACUAUUAAUUCUUCUCUGAAUUUUAUCGCUAACAACCAUGCUGCAAAUCUGAAAUUGUUUGAAUGUAUCAGUCUCCUUAACAUUUUCUUCUUUUCUUUCAGAGUAAUUCUGAAUAUAUUAAUUUUAUCAAUUGCAUGCAUAAUGCUAAUGCCAACAUUUUGUGCAGGAGGGCAUCUUGUCAGAGAGACCAUAUCCGAGUUCAUAUUUUAAACAGUUGUCAGCUUCUUUAUGAAUGUCAAUAAAUGUAAAUUCUAAUAAAAACAAAAAUAAAAUCUUAUUAAUUGUCCUCUGGAGCCUUCAAAAUAAGUACUACAUUCUUUUGGCAAGAACUCACUCAGAAUGUUUGUCUUCUAACAUUCCUCUGAAGAGAAAGUGAAGACACCAGCAUUUUGCAUCUUUGUGUGUGUGUGUGUGCGCACGUGCUAAAACACUGGAACACACAAAAGUAGACACAGUCAGAGAGGAAUGGGCAUAGAUGGAUUUAUCAGGAAUUUGACGAGGCUUACCCUUUGGGCUCCCACUUUCUUGGGGCUUCUGCUAAGAAUCUUUAACUGUUUAGAUUUGUAACUUUGUAAAGAAAACCCUUUAAGUUGAGGAAGAAGGAUAUUCCACAAAGUCUAUAAUGUCUGCUAGGCAUGACCAACUUUCCUAGAUUAUUCUGUGAAAACAGCACUAGGAGGAAACACAGAAAUCUAUUAGGUUUGAUUCUGAGAUGUGAGACCUGGUUGGAUAAAUGUAAGGGAGAUGACGAGAGAGAAGAGCAAAAGAGAAAUGCAUGGGAAAGGGAUGUACAAAAAAAAACAAACA